AUUGAACGCUGGCGGCAUGCCUAAUACAUGCAAGUCGAACGAGUGGCGGACGGGUGAGUAAUGUCUUGGAAACUGCCUGAUGGAGGGGGAAAACUACUGGAAACGGUAGCUAAUACUGCAUACCAUCAGAUGUGCCCAGAUGGGAUUAGCUAGUUGGUGGGGUAACGGCUCACCAAGGCGACGAUCCCGAGCUGGUCUGAGAGGAUGACCGGCCACACUGGAACUGAGACACGGUCCAGACUCCUACGGGAGGCAGCAGUAGGGAAUAUUGCGCAAUGGGCGCAAGCCUGAUGCAGCCAGGCCGCGUGUGUGAAGAAGGCCUUCGGAUUGUAAAGUACUUUCAGCAGGGAGGCGUUACCCGCAGAGAAAGCACCGGCUAACUCCGUGCCAGCAGCCGCGGUAAUUC
rnacentral:rRNA from 1 species